CAUCCCCUUUUCUGCUCAUUUGUUCUUUCUCAUUCCUUUCAUUAUUUUCUUGCCAAAACAAAGGUUUUGACCACCCCAAAAGCCUCCUAAACCGUUCACCACCCUCAUUUCCUCCCAUAUUCUCUUUUCUUCUCUUUUCCUCUACCAUUUUCUCUCUUUUUGGCAACCACCACCAUUUCUCUUCAUCUUUGCUUCAAUUCCUCCGCUGUGAGCCUUAGUUGCACCACCACCUCACCACCGUCCAUACCCUUCUUCUCUCAUUCUUCUCCUCCGAUCACCAUCUUUCGUCGCCACCAUGAACUACCGCUAGACCACUACCAUUGCCACCGUCACUAUCGUCGACGUCAAUUGUCACUGGGUUUUGGGAUUCAUCUCCGACUUUGUUGUGCUAUUUAGUAGUGACCGAAUAACAAUCCUUUGAGAAACCAAUUGUAUGGCAUCGUGAGAGUAACAGAUCUGAGCGUUUGAAUUAAGGGAAAGUAUUAAUGAGAUUUCCUGCAUUAGAUCUUAUAUUAAAGGACUUAUUUUUUCAUUACAUUGUGACUAAAAAAAGAUAUUCAUGUGAUUAGAUUUGUGAUUGGGACUAGAUUCAAGUGAGACUUCUACAA